rnacentral:sRNA from 1 species
UAGCCGAGUUCCGACGAUACCGCAAUCGU